rnacentral:rRNA from 1 species
AGUGGCGAACGGGUGAGUAAAGCAUCGGAACGUGCCCGGUAGUGCGGGAUAGCUCGGCAAAAGCCGGAUUAAUACCGCAUGAGAUCCGAGGAUGAAAGCAGGGGACCCGCAAGGGCCUUGCGCUACUGGAGCGGCCGAUGUCAGAUUAGGUAGUUGGUGAGGUAAAGGCUCACCAAGCCUGCGAUCUGUAGCUGGUCUGAGAGGAUGAUCAGCCACAUCGGGACUGAGACACGGCCCGAACUCCUACGGGAGGCAGCAGUGGGGAAUUUUGGACAAUGGGCGCAAGCCUGAUCCAGCCAUGCCGCGUGCAGGAUGAAGGCCUUCGGGUUGUAAACUGCUUUUGUACGGAACGAAAAGCCUCUCUUUAAGAACAUGGGGAGAUGACGGUACCGUAAGAAUAAGC